rnacentral:rRNA from 1 species
UUGAACGCUGGCGGCAUGCCUUACACAUGCAAGUCGAACGGCAGCACGGGAGCAAUCCUGGUGGCGAGUGGCGAACGGGUGAGUAAUAUAUCGGAACGUGCCCAAUCGUGGGGGAUAACGUAGCGAAAGUUACGCUAAUACCGCAUACGCCCUGAGGGGGAAAGUGGGGGACCGCAAGGCCUCACGCGAAUGGAGCGGCCGAUGUCAGAUUAGCUAGUUGGUGGGGUAAAGGCCCACCAAGGCGACGAUCUGUAGCGGGUCUGAGAGGAUGAUCCGCCACACUGGGACUGAGACACGGCCCAGACUCCUACGGGAGGCAGCAGUGGGGAAUUUUGGACAAUGGGCGCAAGCCUGAUCCAGCCAUGCCGCGUGCGGGACGAAGGCCUUCGGGUUGUAAACCGCUUUCAGCCGGAAAGAAAUCGCUGUUUUUAAUACGGACAGUGGAUGACGGUACCGGAAGAAGAAGCACCGGCUAACUACGU